GCCGUCGGCCUCCCCAAACCCUAAACUGAUUUACUCCUUUCCCUUCUCUUCCAUUUUUGACAUGCGGUUGCCACUGGGAGAGAGCAGGUAGGCGAAAGGCAGCGACACCAGGCGAAGCGAGCGCCGCCAUCUUCCGAUGCGAUGCGAGCGGGCGGAGAUCUGGUGUGGGUGGAUCCUUUGGUCCUUCCUGAAGUAGUGAGGGAUCCCUUCAUCGGUGCUUGGGCUCAUCACCGGAGCGGCGGCGCCAGGAACAACAUGGGCUCACAUCUCGAGGGUGGCGCAUCGGCGUCGCACGGACCCGGUGACGGCGGGAGCACAAGUACUAGACAUGAGCUACCUGAGCUCGUAUCUAGAGUUGCUUCUGGUGGGGGCGGCGGUCGAGCUGAGAUCCAAGGGCUGGCCUCCUUUACGCAUACCAUCCCCAACUUGGGGAGUUCAGUUUCAGUAAGAGAGCAUACAGUUCAAGCGAUUAGCAUGACAGAAGCUACUUAUUUACAGGCUCACUAGAUUGGGGAUAUUACAGGGAAGUUUAUUUUUUCCAAUUCCAAAUAGCAACUAUUUGUGUUAUUGUUUGAUUAGUCAGUCAUUGUCACUGAGUUGUUUAGACUCGAGGCUUGUGAUAUUCUGUUUCAGUCAGUCAUUAUCACUGCUAUAGGCAUGUGCCUUGUAUGUCUGUAUUUUUGCAUCCCAUGAACUGCAUCUCUACACUUACUGUUUCCAAUGGUCAGUGGAGUUUGUUGCAUCUAUUUAUUUUAAUGGUAGAUGCUCUUAUGUAAUAUUUUGUUUAUUUGACAGCUAUUUACCUGAUCACCUGUUGCACUGCAUUUUCAUUUUUUUUGCACUGUAGUUCCAUUUGCAACCAUUCUUCAGUGAAACCUGAUAUUCUUAGUCAACAAUAAAAUAAUCUCACAUUUGCAUUCUUUCCUGAAACCUGUAACUGAGAACUGAAGUCACCCUAGUGCUGGUUGAAUAAUAAAGCUGUGACCUAAAACUAUAGCUCUAUUGGUAGUUACUUCUAAAAUUUUUGGUAGUUCACUUCUAAUUUUCUUCUUACUGUAACAAUGCAGGAACAUGAGCCUGUGGGUGUUGGACAUUCAGACAUGUUUCCAGAUCUCAUAUCUUCCUGUGUUGGAACUUGUAUGUGAAAUGAUGGAAGAUUGCUGCAGGUGUCAUCAUAUAUAGGUAGUGGUAUUGGAAGAGAUUUAGUAAUUGGGUGCAGGUGUUUUACUCCUUGCUGCUGUGAGAGUUUCUAUGAGUAUAUAAAUAUGUAUAUGUAUAAGACCAUGUCAAAUAUGACGCGAUAUAUAAAUUAUGUAUCUGAAUAUAUUAAUAUGGACGCUGGUGAUUUCAAUUU